UGUUCUGUGGCUUAGUUGGUUAAAUCGCCGGUCUAGCGAAUACGGAGUCGUGGGUUCGAAUCCCACCAGAACGC
rnacentral:tRNA from 1 species